UAGCUUUAAGCUUGUAUUUAAAGUUUUACCUGCCCAGUGAUAUUUUUAACGGCCGCAGUACUUUGACUGUGCUAAGGUAGCAUAAUAAGUUGGCUUUUAAUUAAAGUCGGGUAUGAAAGGGGCUUCGGAAAAUAACUGUCUUAAUUAUAUUUUAUUUUAAUUUAAUUAAUGGGUGAAAAUUCCCAUAAUUCUUACAUUAGACGAGAAGACCCUAAGAAUUAUAAUUAAAAUGAAUCAAAUUCAUUUAUCAUUUUUGUUGGGGCAACAAUGACUGGAUUUUUAACCGUCAUAUAAUAAUUUUACAUAACUAGUAUAUUUAAAAGGAAAUAAAUUACCUUAGGGAUAACAGCAUAAUUAAUUUUUAGAUUGUGACCUCGAUGUUGGAUUAAGGACUUAAUUUACUAGCCGUAAAUUAAGAUAGUUCUGUUCGAACUGUAAUACCUU
rnacentral:rRNA from 1 species